GGAGUGGUCCGGACGGUCGCGUUGGAUGCUUGCAUCCACCGAGGAAAGUCCGGGCUGCACAGGGCAGAACGCCGGCUAACGGCCGGUGGGGGCGACCCCGAGGAAAGUGCCACAGAAAACAGACCGCCGUGGCUUGCCACGGUAAGGGUGAAAAGGUGCGGUAAGAGCGCACCGCCCGGUCUGGUAACAGACCGGGGCACGGUAAACCCCGUUCGCAGCAAGGCCAAAUAGGGAAGUAUUGGCGCGGCCCGCGUUUGCUUCCGGGUAGGCUGCUCGAGCCUGCCGGUAACGGCAGGCCUAGAUGAAUGACCGUCAUCCCGCUUGCGGGAGACAGAACCCGGCUUACAGGGCCACUCCGUAU
rnacentral:RNase_P_RNA from 1 species